UGUGUCCUUAUGGCUUAAAACAAGCCCAGGCAAAACUCUCCAGGAGCAGAGAGGCAGUUCACAUCUCAUCAGGGCAUGGAUGAGACAAACCCAGCCUCAGAGGAACAAAGGACGCUGGCCUAGGCAGUAACAAAAGGAUCUGUUGGACUCUUGAGUGAGUCACCCCCCUUCCUUUGGUCAAUUUGGGACUGCGAUGAAGUAAUGCUCACCUGACUCUGAAGGGGGAGGGGGCAAAGCCAAGAGG